rnacentral:rRNA from 1 species
GACGAACGCUGGCGGCGUGCUUAACACAUGCAAGUCGAGCGGAAAGGCCACUUCGGUGGUACUCGAGCGGCGAACGGGUGAGUAACACGUGAGUAAUCUGCCCUUGGCUUUGGGAUAGCCACCGGAAACGGUGAUUAAUACCGGAUACGACCACUUCUCGCAUGGGAUGGUGGUGGAAAGUUUUUCGGCCAGGGAUGUGCUCGCGGCCUAUCAGCUUGAUGGUGAGGUAAUGGCUCACCAUGGCUUCGACGGGUAGCCGGCCUGAGAGGGUGAGCGGUCACACUGGGACUGAGACACGGCCCAGACUCCUACGGGAGGCAGCAGUGGGGAAUAUUGGACAAUGGGCGGAAGCCUGAUCCAGCAACGUCGCGUGAGGGAUGACGGCCUUCGGGUUGUAAACCUCUUUCAGCGGGGACGAAGCGAAAGUGACGGUACCCGCAGAAGAAGCACCGGCCAACUACGUGCCAGCCGCCGCAGUAAGAC